rnacentral:rRNA from 1 species
CUGGCUCAGGAUGAACGCUGGCGGCGUGCUUAACACAUGCAAGUCGAGCGGAAAUAUGCAAUCGGAGAGCUUCGGCAGGAAGAUUACAUAUUUUAGCGGCGGACGGGUGAGUAACGUGUGGGCAACCUGCCCUGUACUGUGGAAUAAUCACUGGAAACGG